UCCAUAGACCAUCGUUGCAGCUCUGUUCAGGAGGGUGAACCAGUCAGGCAGCAAACCAUUUUGAUCAGGCAGUAUGUAGGGCAGCUAGAGGCAAGGAGGGACUGGAAAAUAAGGGGGCCUUUGUGGUGCGUGUGUACCGGAGGAGGCGUGCGCAGCGGCACACAUGACCACAUCUGGCCGACUGAUGCGGGCCCUGCGCCUGGAUGUGGCUCUGUUACGUCAAGCAGCCGGGGCGGAUAGGGACCGGCGGACUGGACCAUCUGCACACACGUUAUUUGCGUGCACGUGGUUGUGUCUUCCGCAAAACAAAAAGGCCCCUCAACGUAGAAGUUCCUCCAGAGCGGGGGGUGGAUGGAUGGAAAGAUGGAUGGAUGGAGGCAGCGCCGCUCUCCAGAGGUCCUGAAACACACACCGAGAGCUGUCCGUGGUGCUGGAACCAGCUCCGGCUGUCGUGGUGGUGGUGAACGCCCUGCGCUGGAGUCUGGGAGCCCAGUUUGU